UUGCACGCUGGCGGCCUGCUUUACCCCUGCACGUCGAACGGCAGCGCGGGCUUCGGCCUGGCGGCGAGUGGCGAACGGGUGAGUAAUGCAUCGGAACGUGCCCAGUAGUGGGGGAUAGCCCGGCGAAAGCCGGAUUAAUACCGCAUACGACCUGAGGGUGAAAGCGGGGGACCGAAAGGCCUCGCGCUAUUGGAGCGGCCGAUGUCGGAUUAGCUAGUUGGUGGGGUAAAGGCUUACCAAGGCGACGAUCCGUAGCUGGUCUGAGAGGACGACCAGCCACACUGGGACUGAGACACGGCCCAGACUCCUACGGGAGGCAGCAGUGGGGAAUUUUGGACAAUGGGGGCAACCCUGAUCCAGCCAUGCCGCGUGCGGGAAGAAGGCCUUCGGGUUGUAAACCGCUUUUGUUCGGGAAGAAAUCCUCUGGGCUAAUACCCCGGGGGGAUGACGGUACCGGAAGAAUAAGCACCGGCUAACUACGUG
rnacentral:rRNA from 1 species